UACGGAGGGUGCUAGCGUUGUUCGGAAUCACUGGGCGUAAAGGGCGUGUAGGCGGUCUGUUAAGUCUGAUGUGAAAUCCCCUCGCUCAACGAGGGAACUGCGUCGGAUACUGGCAGACUCGAGUACCGGAGAGGAAGGUGGAAUUCCCGGUGUAGCGGUGAAAUGCGUAGAUAUCUGGAGGAACACCGGUGGCGAAGGCGGCAUCCUGGACCAACACUGACGCUGAGGAGCGAAAGCCAGGGGAGCAAACGGG
rnacentral:rRNA from 1 species